GAUGAAGAACGUAGCGAAAUGCGAUAAGUAGUGUGAAUUGCAGAAUUCAGUGAAUCAUCGAAUCUUUGAACGCACAUUGCGCCCCUUGGUAUUCCAUGGGGCAUGCCUGUUCGAGCGUCAUUUGUACCUUCAAGCUUUGCUUGGUGUUGGGUGUUUGUCUCGCCUUUGCGUGUAGACUCGCCUUAAAAUAAUUGGCAGCCGGCGUAUUGAUUUCGGAGCGCAGUACAUCUCGCGCUUUGCACUCAGAACGACGACGUCCAAAAGUACAUUUUUACACUCUUGACCUCGGAUCAGGUAGGGAUACCCGCUGAACUUAAGCAUAUCAAUAAGCGGAGGA
rnacentral:misc_RNA from 1 species